GGGUGCAAUCAUUCCAGCACUAAUGAACCGGAUCCCAUCAGAACUUUGCAGUCAAGCGUGCUUGGGGAAGAGUAGUACUAGGAUGGGUGACCUUCUGAGAAGUCCGCGUAUUGCACCCC
rfam:Gossypium raimondii chromosome 6, whole genome shotgun sequence.